GACAGAGGGGGCAAGCGUUGUUCGGAAUUACUGGGCGUAAAGGGCUUGUAGGCGGCCAACUAAGUCCGACGUGAAAUCCCCAGGCUUAACCUGGGAACUGCGUCGGAUACUGGAUGGCUUGAAUUCGGGAGAGGGAUGCAGAAUUCCAGGUGUAGCGGUGAAAUGCGUAGAUAUCUGGAGGAAUACCGGUGGCGAAGGCGGCAUCCUGGACCGACAUUGACGCUGAGGAGCGAAAGCUAGGGGAGCAAACGGG
rnacentral:rRNA from 1 species